GUGGGUGUAGCUCAACUGGUAGAGCACUGGGUUGUGGCCCCAGCGGCCGUGGGUUCGAAUCCCAUCACUCACCCCA
rnacentral:tRNA from 1 species